GAGUUUGAUCGUGGCUCAGAAUUAACGCUGGCAGAGUGCAUAACACAUGCAAGUCGAGCGGGCUAAUCUGCGAUUACAUCAAGGGUUAGCUAGCGGCAGACGAGUGAGUAACACGUAAGCAACCUUCCCUGGAAUGGGGGAUAACGCACCGAAAGGUGUGCUAAUACCCCGUACUAUCCCUGAACGGCAUCGUUUGAGGAUGAAAGGCUCCGGCCGAUCCAGGAGGGGCUUGCGUCCCAUCAGCUAGUUGGCGGGGUAAUGGCCCACCAAGGCGACGACGGGUAGCUGGUCUGAGAGGAUGGCCAGCCACAUUGGGACUGCGACACGGCCCAGACUCCUACGGGAGGCAGCAGUGGGGAAUAUUGCGCAAUGGACGAAAGUCUGACGCAGCGACGCCGCGUGUGGGAUGAAGCUCUUCGGGGUGUAAACCACUGUUGCCCGGGACGAAAUGCCCUUUCGAGGGAAUUGACGGUACCGGGUGAGGAAGCACCGGCUAACUCUGUGCCAGCCGCCGC
rnacentral:rRNA from 1 species